GCAGUGGUUUCCCACUUAAUUGAGCAUUGGAUUCGUAAUCCAAGGGUCGCGGGUUUGAUACCCGCACAUUGCA